UAUCAAAAUUGACCAAUAGGUGGUGCUGUUAUCAAGUCAAUUUGGUGUACUCUGUGUGACUUUUCAAUGACACAAACAAAGUUUGGUGUCAAUAUGCCAAAGCAUUGCAGAGAUACAGCCUCAAGUGUCAUUUUGUCAUUGUGCCUCAAGUUCGUCGCUGUGGUAUGCAAAAACGGUUUUGUCUAUCGACACAAAAUUCAUAACUUUUUGUCAGCACAGUCUGAAUAUCAUCUGAUUAAAUUUUGGUGAAAAUUGGACUAACGGCUGAUGAGGAGUUCAAAAAGUAGGUUUUCAACAUAAAUCAAAAUGGCGGACCGGAAGUUCAGCUUAAUCUGGCAUAUUUGGUAUCUAUGUUUUCGGCAUAAACCAGGGAAUAUUUUGAGACCAGUUUCGUUGCAAUAGGCUAAUGCAUUAAAAAGUUAUUAGCAUUUUUAUAAGUGUAAUUAUUCAUGGGUAAUGAAUGGUUUAUUACUCUUGACCAAUAGGUGGCGCUGUUACCAAAUUUAUGUGGCAUGGUCAGUGUAAGGUGCCGAUGACACAUACAAAGUUUGGUGCAAAUAUGUCAAAGCUUUGCAGAGAUACAGCUUCAAAUACAUUUUGGCACCCUUCCAGCAGAUUUGUUGAUGCGUUAAAUGAGAACCGUUUCGAAUAUCGACACGAAAUCUAUAACUUUUUGUCAGCAUGGUCUGAAGAUGAUCCACGUCAAAUUUGGUGAAAAACGGUCUAGGAGGUGUUCGAAGAAGUAGGUUUACAACAUUUUGGCAUAAUUGGUAUCAAUGUUCUUGGCGUGAUCCAAAGCAUAUAGGGAGACCAUUUUCAUUUCAGUAGUCUAAUUUAUUAAAAGUUAUUAGCAUUUUUUAGAAAUGUCAUUAUAACUCCUGACCACUAGGUGGCACAUCGACUAAACAGUGCAGGUAGUCUCAGGUCAUGGUUUUUAUGACAGACACAAAGCUUGGUCUCAAUAUGCUAAACCUCUGUGGAGAUAUAGCCUCACAUCCAUUUUUACAUGGUUUUCGUAUAAUUCUGUUGUGGAUUAUUUGAGAAGGGUGUUAAAAUCUACUUGAAUUUCAUAAGUUAUUGCCAACAAGGCCUGAAGGCAGUCUGAGAAGAUUUUGGAUUUUCGGCCUACACCACGACUGAGAAAAUUUAGAAAAUGCAAAUUUCAAAACUUUAUUAUAAUAUAACGACAUAAAUUCUGAUAAGUAUAGACAGCAAUAAGUAGUAAAUAAAUUGUGAUAAUAAAUAAAUCUUGUAGGUAUUUUAUGAGUGAAUUUGUUAAAGUAGCCUAUUUAAGAGAUCGGACAUGAACUACUCCCACAACUAUGCUUAAAGUGACAAUUUCUUAAUAUAACAAAGAGAAAUAUGAGCAUUAUGCAAUGGUUAAACUAAUCUAUCACAUUUUGUAAUUUAUUUGUAUAUGUAAGCCAGCUAUGGAGCUAGUUAGUCUAAUUAAAAUACCCAUAUCUUUCAUUUCAGCUUUGUGCAUAUGUACAGUGGAAAAUGACAUACUUAAACUUAAUUAUUUCAUUUUAUGAAUUCUAGAUUAUAGUCUUUGUCAUGGUCUUUUUAAAAUAAUAUUUAGCCAGUUUUUGGUGAAUUAAAAACAAGCAGUAUGUAACUGUUAUUGAAACAACAUUACAGAAGGUUAAAUUUAUUUUAAAGAAAAUAAAGUAAAAUUAAAUAAGCAGUUAAGUCAAGGAAAACAUUCCAUGGUGUCAGUGUUGGCAGGUAAGAUGUUUUAAAAAGUCUAUUUCAAAAUACUAAAAACAUUACAAGCUAAUUCAUUAACUUGUUAUUUUUAUCUUUACCGUAUUUUCCGGACUAUAAGUCGCACUUUUUUAAUAGUUUGGCUGGUCCUGCCUAUUUAUCAAAAUUAAUUUAACAUGAACCGAGAGAAAUGAACCAAGAGAAAACAUUACCAUCUACAGCUGCGAGAGGGCGCUCUAUGCCACUUAGUGCUCUUGUAGUCUACCACCAAAAGCAAGGACCGCCCUCUCGCGGAUAUGUUGUCAAAUCUUAUGAUUUUUUGUUGAUGUCAAUUUUAUUUUAUUUUAAUAUAAUUUUAAUUAGUUUGAUGAUGAUUAGUAGCCUACUAACUUUAUCAGAACUGUCAGAAGUGAUGUUGCUUAAUAUAUGGGUGUAGGAGUGCAUGGUGGUCUCAAAAGUGUGGCACUUCUGACCAAAAAACAAACUAUGUACAGCAGGGGCGACUGGACUGACUUCUUACACUUUAGUAUUAAUCAUUUAACUCAGGCAGUUACAUUUAUGUUAAGAGCAUAGUCCCUGGAGAAUAGGUUUUAUUAGCUGGCAAUGUUCAAUACACAUUUGAGAGUGUCUCAUUUUAAAUUCUGUAACCUGAAUUUCAGUCCACAAGGUUGGUCAGGAAUUCUCAUUUCUUUCAUCAUCUGAAACAAGGAGAUUUAAAUAUAUUUGGUUUAACUUCUGUAGAUACAUACAAUUAUGUGUGUUAUCUCUGUUAUUCUUUCAUAUUCUCUGAUACACCUUACUAACGUUGUUUAAGUUAUUGUCUAUGUUGUCUUGAGAAAGACAAUAUACUGUUACAGUGUUUAAAUAUUAUUAUACUUGUGAGACCAAUAAUUUUCAGCUGUAGUGUACAUAAGUUUACGGCUUUAAUGUUACAGGCACCAAAGUAGUCAGAGACAGUGGAUUUGAUCUGUAGUUUGUUUCUAUAUUUUUUGUAGAUGAUAAGACUGAUCAAGUUUUUUUAUGAAAAGUUAAUUAUAAAUAUUUAUGAAAAAUUAAAGAUUUUCCCAUAGAUUUGCAUUGGCUGAGAAAAAAAAUUCUAUGGGACGACUGCAGUCCACUAGAGGGAGUAACAGCAUAAGAAAUGGUGCAACUUCCCUCAUUUACUUUCGUUUUCAUAUAGAUAAAUGUACACAUAAUUGCUUAAUUUUCUUUUUUGCUUUUAUGCAGCCAAGCAAGGCUAAUAUAUUUGAUCAUGACCAUGUCAGGUAGUGAGUAUCUGAUUUUCAGAGAGGCCGGUGUGAAAUACGUUCUGUGAAGGUAUUUUUGGUGCAGAACAACUGAUCGUCUGUGACCGUAGAAUGUGCAUUUGUAGAGAUUAGCCACACGUGUACCAGUAAAUUUGAAGUCACAGAUAAAAGUUGUAGAUAUUUUUCCCUGUUCCACAAACAUAAUAUAAUAGUUAUACCUUCUCGAAUCCUUCACUGCAGGUGCACAAACUAUAUUUAAUGAAUAACAAAUCAAACUGGUAGACAUGUUGUGUCCUAGUAUUUCUGCAGUAAAUAUUGUGCAAAACAUAUUCACACACCGACAUCAAAAAUGACAUCAUUGCACAUCUGAAAAUCAUUGAAUUAUUGCAAUGAUAUUUGCAGACUGUAGAAUGUUUUGUUAUAUACAUUUUUCUAUUAUGCCUUUUCUAGCACAAACAGAAGUGCAUAACCACAACGGCGUGAAUCUGCUGCUACGAGACUCAAAGCUAUUUUUCACGUGCAAAUUUCGCGGGCGCUCUUGAGAUUUGGCCAAUCAGAGGAGCUAUACUAUCCGAUUUUUGUUACUUAAUGUUUGUGAAUCAUAUCGUUGUAGAUCGUAUUUUGGAGCUGUUUGUGAUUAACGUUACAUCAACUGGUAAGUUAUAUAGUUAGUCCACAUAACGUUAAAUUAAUCAGAGAAUAUUGUAAUUCUACACUGCCUGUUUAUCACAGGAUAAGUCAGAUAUACGUUGCAUAACAACGAGCUAACGUUAAAAUAGUAAAGAAAACCGAGUAAAUAAAAAACGUUGUUAUGUAACGUUAGACCUUUUAUAUUUUAUUUCCAGGUUGUGGUCAUCUGUCAUGUCAUCUGUAAAGGAGGUGUAUUGGAGUCUUUUCUUGUGAUUAUCAUCGUAGCGGUGCUAACAACAGGAGAUUUCUCCCAGCAAAAACACAGAUGCUGAUUUUGAGGAGCUCAUCAUAUGGCCAGCUGUCCAUUUUAUUGAAAUACAGAAUCAGGUUCAUUCCGAGAAUCAACCCUUGUGCCUCCAAAUGCCAUUCAAAGUUAUAGAUCAGGUGGAAUUAAGGAAAAGGUGCAAAGAAAAACCGUCGGCCUGAAUCCUGUCGCGGUGUUUCUUAUGAGAGAGCUUACCAGCUUCGCCACAAUUACUCAAAUUUAACAAAACAACAUUUUAUUUUAUUUUUUUUAACGGUAUUGUAUUUCUGUAAAGCCUGUUUUGGGAUAGUGAUGAUUCCCUUUUUCAGCUAGUGCAUGCUAGGGGUCAAUACUUGUCAUUUAUAUUUUUAAAAGAAGAAUAUUAUCAGGACAAAUGGUAAUAAGUUAUUGUGAUUUGGGGGGGGGGGGGGGGGGGUUAAAUAAAAUAUGGUUUACAGUGCUGUAUUGCAAUUGUAUUGUUUUAUACAGGUAAAAAUGCAAAUAAACUGAACAGUACUAACACUGACAAUACAGUAAUAAUAAUUUAAAUGAAAAUACAGUAAUAAGACAUUCAUCUACUGUAAAAUUUUCAGCAAUCUGAUUAGAGUGUAGCUUAUCAGUUGGCACCUGAAUGAAUGGGAAGAAAAAUAAAAUAAUAAAAAAGUUUGUGAGUAUUUAUUUUUCUUACAUCCCUGACUGUCAUGCUGUACAUUUGUUAAUAAUUCAAAU